GCGCUUGUAGCUCAAAUGGAUAGAGCGCUGGCCUCCGGAGCCAGAGGCUGUGAGUUCAAAUCUCACCAAGCGCA
rnacentral:tRNA from 1 species